rnacentral:rRNA from 1 species
CGGGGAAUUUUGGACAAUGGGCGCAAGCCUGAUCCAGCCAUGCCGCGUGCGGGAAGAAGGCCUUCGGGUUGUAAACCGCCUUUGUCAGGGAAGAAAUCUUCUGAGUUAAUACCUCGGGAGGAUGACGGUACCUGAAGAAUAAGCACCGGCUAACUACGUGCCAGCAGCCGCGGUAAUACGUAGGGUGCAAGCGUUAAUCGGAAUUACUGGGCGUAAAGCGUGCGCAGGCGGUUUUGUAAGACAGAGGUGAAAUCCCCGGGCUCAACCUGGGAACUGCCUUUGUGACUGCAAGGCUUGAGUGCGGCAGAGGGGGAUGGAAUUCCGCGUGUAGCAGUGAAAUGCGUAGAUAUGCGGAGGAACACCGAUGGCGAAGGCAAUCCCCUGGGCCUGCACUGACGCUCAUGCACGAAAGCGUGGGGAGCAAACAGGAUUAGAUACCCUGGUAGUCCACGCCCUAAAACGAUGUCAACUGGUUGUUGGGAAGGUUCCUUCUCAGUAACGUAGCUAACGCGUGAAGUUGACCGCCUGGGGAGUACGGCCGCAAGGUUGAAACUCAAAUGAAUUGACGGGGUCAUAGCUGUUUCCUG